GCCCCAGUGGCGAAAUGGUAGACGCGGCAGACUCAAAAUCUGUUGCUCGCGAGAGCGUGCUGGUUCGAGUCCGGCCUGGGGCA
rnacentral:tRNA from 1 species